GACGAACGCUGGCGGCGUGCUUAACACAUGCAAGUCGAGCGGAAAGGCCCGGCUUUCAGGGUACUCGAGUUGCGGACGGGUGAGUGACACGUGCGUGAUCUACCCUGCUCUUCGAGAUGGACCAGGGAGACUAAGUCUAAUACCUAAUAGGAGCCAUAUUUAGUGUGAUGGUUGGAAAGUUUUUUCGGUUUAGGAUGAGCUCGCUGCCUAUCAGCUUGUUGGUGUGGUAAUGGCCUACCAAGGCGGCGACGGGUAGCCGCACUGAGAGGGUGGACGGCGACACUGGGACCGAGAUGAGGCCAAGACUCCUAAGGGAGGCAGCAGGGGGGAAUCUUGCCCAAUGGGCGCAAGCCUGAUGAAGAGACGCCGCGUGGCGGAUGACGGUCUUAGGGUUGUAAAAUAAUUUCGCUAGGGACGAAGCUCUUUGUGACGGUACCUAGAUAAGAAGCCACGGCUAACUACGUG
rnacentral:rRNA from 1 species